rnacentral:lncRNA from 1 species
ACCACAGCUUGUGGCAAUGCCGGAUCCUUAACACACUGAUGGAGGCCAAGGAUAGAACCUGCAUAGUCAUGGAUACUAGUCAGAUUCGUUACCUCGGAGCCACAAUGGGAACACCCCCAGGUUUCCUUAACCUUCCCAGCAGGCUGCUGCAUCCUGAAUCUUGCUCAAGUGGUAGUGCCUGUCUUCACCCACCUUUGCCUCCCAUGCCAGCCACAUCCUUCCCACGUUUGCACACAGUGCUGCUGCUGAGUUUAUAAACAGUUCAGCACAAAGUGGACCUUCCAUGGUGACAAUCAGCACAAGGACCCUCAGUAAAUACUGAUUGGUAUCAAUAGGAGGCGCGGACUGCUUUCUGUUUCACACCGAAGUAAACUCUGCCCCAUCCUCCUGGAGCUCCCGCCCUUCCCCAGGCAUCUGGACACUAAGUUUAAUCUCCAGCCAAAUGAAAGGCUCUGGCCCAGGGACAGCUAGGCAGGUGGUUUCUGUGCUUGCAGCUCUCUGCAGAUUACAAAGCCUCCAAAGAGUUAGAAUCAACAAACACCCCGGGAUCCUUGAAGAAAACGGCUGAACACGUGCAGGUCACCGCCUUGCAAAAGCGACACUCAAAUCAGGACAAGCUCAGUCUAAAAAUAGACGCACCUGAAUUAGGACAUGAGAAGGUAUCAGAAGGCACAGGAGUGCCACACCUAGCUCACAGGUUUGCUUGCUGGGCUGGGACAGCCAGUGCCCUGGCUGUGAGGCAACACAAAGAUGGCACAGGCGUACUUGUUCACCUCUUGCUCAAAGGCAAGGAGGGACCCAGUGGGAGCAGAAAUCAGGCCUCAGAACCCAACUGAGGGCCCAGAAAGGCACUCUCCCAUCCCACACAACUGCAGCUGGGGUGGAGAGGCCAACCCCUGGAUCCAGCCAACAGUCUCUGAAUGAUGCCAGGGAGAUGUGCCUGCUCCAGGCAGGGCAACCACAGCUGCCAACAUGGACACCAAGCCCUGUGCUAGAAUGGACCCAUUAUGAAGGCUUUUUGUUUUGUAAACACAUCCAGAAAAUGUCCAUAAAAAACAAUGGAAAAAAACAAAUUCCAGCCUAAAAAAACCCCAACAGCUUGCCCUCCAAGGACUAAGUCUUUAGCCUUCACAAGCACUUCAGCAAACUACAGGCGCACACAGGGGCCCAGACCUCCGCUCCAAAGGCCCCCACCACGUGCAUGUUGACAUGCCUGCAGCCCCUGCCACGCCAACCUCCCUCCAAUCACUUCUUCUUCAGAACAAGAGGCUCUGAAUAAAGUGUUCCUGAACAAAGCAUUGGUCUGAAGGUGCCCUGUAGAAAGGGAAAUUGCUCUGCUGACAGAGCGGACAACAGGACUGUGCUCAGAGAGGGCUAAGUGUUCACGAACCUGUCUGUGUACUGCUGGUCCUUUCAUCUGUUUUUCAAAAACACGUCUAAGAACAAUAUUUCUCUCUAUGCAAGAUGAGUGUUGAAACAAAGAAAAAUUAAAUAUCAACACACACACACAUCCCAGCACAUGUAUGCGCGCACGCACACACACACACACACACACACACACACACAGCAGCAGCAGCACACAGAUCAGGACUCUCUCAUACCCUCAGCUGUCCAUCUUUGACACUCUGGCCUGCAGGGAUCAAAUGAUGUGCUCAUAAGCCUUCAGGGUGUUUUAGUUCAACCCAAAAAUGCCCUUUUCUUGCGGAGAGAGUUUGGAAAGUUCGCCUGCCUCUAGGCUGAAUGUCUGGAUACAAGACUCAGAGGAAGAUGGUUCUCUUGGCUGAGCGCCCAGAGGACAAGCAGCAAGGAACAGAGGAGACCCCCGACCUCAGGGUUCCCUGCCUCUGCGGCACAGGUCUGGGGCUGGUGACCUGGUUAAUUAGGGACUACAAACAAAAUCUGGGGAGAACCCAAGGAUACAGCUGCUCUAGAAAGGAGCAAGUAUAGUGGGCUCUGCUCAUCCUCUUCCUUUGUGUGGACUUGACAGUUGCAAUCUAAGAAAAUCUAGCAAUUUCAAAGGGAAAGAUAUUUUCUCAACUAGAGGGUCAGCAACAGGAGGGUAGCUGCCACCUCUUCCCAACAUUCCUUUGCAUCACUGCACAGUCCUAGAAACAUCCAACAGACAUUUUUUAGAGAAAGUAAAGGUGUCCAAUGAAGUCCCCUAGCACUUUCUUUUUUUUUUUAAAUUUAAAAAAGUUUUCCUUAUGGCUGCAUAUAGAAGUUCCUGGGCGAGGGAAUGAAUCUGAGCCACAGCUGUGACCUGCACCGCAGCUGCAGCAAUGCCAGAUGCUUUAACCUACUCCAUCAGUCUGGGGAUCAAACCUGUGCCUCCACAGUGACCCAAGCCACCACGUAGUGGGAUUCUUAACCCACUCUCCCAUAGUGGGAACUCUCUCCCUGCUAGUGCUUUUAAAGGAAAUAGGAACAUCCCAAGACCACCUCUCUUCCAACAACUAAGCACAUUUUCACCACUUCAGGCUUUCUCUGUGCCCUACAUUUUGCUGAACUUACCCUCUGUAGAUGCUAAUCCCCACCAGGCUCACUGUAAAUAUUUCAUGCUGCCCCCACCUCCCUUACAAGUACUUGUCAGAAUUACUGAGGCUGCUAGACUGAAUUCAGGUUUGCUUCACCAGCUUUCCAUGUCACUUCUGUGUUACAAAGGUGCACUGUGCAUAGUGCAGCCUCAAUUUCAACUCAGCUUCCAGCUGGAACAAAACCAAUCUUUCUCCCUGGAUGCUUGCCUCAUUUUCUUCAUUGAAGAAAAUGGCAUUAGGCGUUCCCGUCAUGGAGCAGUGGUUAACGAAUCUGGCCCAUGGGGUUGUGGGUUCAAUCCCUGGCCUUGCUCAGGAUCAAGAACCCACGUGGUCAUGGAUACUAGCUGAAUUCGUUGCCGGCUGCACCACAAUAGGAACUCCCAGGAACGGAAUCUUUAGUAUGAAUCACUAGGGAUGACAAUGUAGUGAGUUUUUGUCAUGAGUGAUUUGAACUUACAAAACUCCAAGUUGCCUUAAAAAAAAAAAAAGUUUCAGGGCUUAAUGGGCAUGAGCUGCUUGAACAGAGAAUUUUUCUAGCUUUCCAAUUCUGGAAUUGUAGCCUUGGAGAAGUUCAUGGAGGCACUUUGCGGUUGGGCUGGUGCCAGGGAAGAGCUGCAGACACUGGGGGCCGUGUCACUGAGAUGCAGGGAGAGGCAUCUGGCUCCAACUCUCAACAGCAGAGAGGGAUGCUGCUGGUGGGGCGGGGGGGGGGUGACCCAAUUAAAAUGCAAAUGACUCCUCUGCUUGUUGCUGCUCAAUGAACCCUGAAGGAAAAUUAAUACAUAUACCACAAGCCCCUGGCCAAAUUAAGACUUUGUGACGACCAGGGAAGUGCAAACUAAGAUCUUUCUUGGUGACUUUAAUACUCUGCAAGAUUCCUAAGGAUCAGAUUUGGUGUUUUUCCCCCAGUCAUCUCAAGUUUCUUAAACUUUAAUCUGCUUAUUCACCUGAUGAUGCAGACUAGCCUAUAAUUACCAAACUAAGAAAAACGGAAACCCACGUUGGCUGCAAGAACCGUGGGGGGAGGAGGGGAAAGGUGGGAAUAGUGAUUUCUUACAUGGACAAGAAGUUAAAAUUUAAGAAUCGCCUGCCAGACACUGUGUCCAGAGUUUGAGCAUUUCAUUCUGACAAUCUUAGCAUCUCAGCAUCUGUAUCUUUUCCAAUUUUACAGACUAGGUAGCUAGUCAGAGACAUGAAUGACAGUUGCCUGAAGUGGCCCAUUUGAUAAGGAGACCAGCGGCUAAUUCUUGGGUUCGUGUUCCUUUCACUACGAUAUUAUUUCCCCAGUCAACACGCUUCCCUCAAGUCUUUAUUAUUUUCAGAUCUUCCACACAAUGCUCUUCUCAAAAGCAAUCAACGCCUGAAGCCUAAAAGAAGUAUGCAAUGUAUUUCUUAUAAAGAAGAAAGAUGCUGGCCCUUCUUUCACUUGUUACUUUUGUCAUCACUUAUCAGGAUGUGGGACCCCAGAUGAAAGCCCUGGGUGAAGAGAGGGACUCGGGAAUGAAGGUGGGACUGGAGGUACCCAGGCGCUGGAGCAUCUCCAACCAGCACCCCAACACCAGCAGAAAGACUUCUGCUAUUAAAACAGAACUUGGCUAGAUGUUUGUUUUUUUUGUCUUUUGCCUUUUUAGGGCUAUACCCACAGCAAGUGGAAGUUCCCAGGCUAAGAGUCGAAUUGGAGCUACAGGUGCUGGCCUACAACACAGCAACACCAGAUUCGAGCUGUGUCUACAACCUGCACCACAGCUCACAGCCACACCAGAUCCUUAACCCACUGAGCGAGGCCAGGGAUGGAAAUUGCAUCCUCAUGGAUACUAGUCAGAUUUGUUUCCACUGACCCAUGAUGGGAACUCCUUGGCUAGAUGUUAAAGAGGUUGCCAGGAUAUGACAAAAGUAGUUAGAAAAUAAAUACUUCGUGUAUACUUUGUGUUAAAAUUCAUAAAAAAGACUCUUCUGAAAACAACUGGAGGAGUGAAAUUGUUACAAUCCCCUCUAAGCCUUACAGAUGCUUUAUUACACUUGUCUACUAGGUUGAUAAAGAUGAGAAGGGGAAGGGUUCUAGGCUAGAAGACACUUUGAGAUUAUAGGUUUUGUGUGCAGUUUAUUCAAUAUUACAUGUAUGUAAACUUAAAUCCUUAUUUUAAAAAAAUCUAAUCUUUCUAGAUAUUUAAAAGUGUACAACAUCUGUUAAAAGUAAACAGGAGUUCCCAACAUGGCGCAGCGGUUAAGGAAUCCAACUAGGAACCAUGAGGUUGUGGAUUCAGUCCCUGCCCUUGCUCAGUGGGUUAACGAUUUGGCAUUUGCCAUGAGCUGUGGUGUAGGUCACAGACGCAGCUCGGAUCCCGUGUCGCUGUGGCUCUGGCGUAGGCUGGUGGCUACAGCUCUGAUUAGACCCCUGGGCUGGGAACCUCCAUGUGCCACGGGAGCAGCCCAAGAAAAGGCAAAAAGACAAAAACAAAAACAAAAAAAACUUUCACUUUUCUAAAAGUUCCUUGGGACAAUAAAGGAGUUACACCUAAAAAAAAAAAAAAAAAAAAAAAAAAAAAAAGUA